GACGAACGCUGGCGGCGUGCCUAAUACAUGCAAGUCGAACGAGUGGCGGACGGGUGAGUAAUGUCUGGGAAACUGCCCGAUGGAGGGGGAUACCUACUGGAACCGGUAGCUAAUACCGCAUACCAUCGGAUGUGCCCAGAUGGGAUUAGCUAGUAGGUGGGGUAACGGCUCACCUAGGCGACGAUCCCUAGCUGGUCUGAGAGGAUGACCAGCCACACUGGAACUGAGACACGGUCCAGACUCCUACGAGAGGCAGCAGUGGGGAAUAUUGCACAAUGGGCGAAAGCCUGACGGAGCCAUGCCGCGUGUAUGAAGAAGGCCUUCGGGUUGUAAAGUACUUUCAGCGAGGAGGCGUUACUCGAAGAAGAAGCUACGGCUAACUCCGUGCCAGCCGCCGCGGUAAUUC
rnacentral:rRNA from 1 species